UGCCUGUCUGUUGCCACGGUUACCGAGCUGAGAGAGGGAAGUGAAAGACUGAAAAGCAGCUUCACCCAAACUCCCAGUUUCUCUGUCUCUGUCUCUGCAGUGGGUAGAGUCCCCCCCUCCCUGACGGUGCUCCCUCCCUCCGUGGAGGAGCUGGACCAGGGGAAGGCCACGCUCAUGUGCCUGGCCAACAAGGGCUUCCCCUCAGACUGGAGUCUGUCCUGGAAGGUGGACGGCAGCAGCAGCAUCAGCAACGGGGAGCAGAGCAGGAGCCCCGGGGUGCUGCAGAAGGACGGCCACUACAGCUGGAGCAGCACCCUGAGGCUCCCUGCAGACCAGUGGAGGAAGGUGGUCUCUGUGACCUGUGAGGCCAGCCAGGGCUCCCAGACUCCGCUCUCAGAGACACUGAGGAGAGACCAGUGUUCCCAGUCCUGACCUGACUCACUGGGACUCUCACACUGCUUUCACUCUCUCUCUGCUCUCUGGCUUUUCUCUGUCUCUUUAUUUCUACCCUGAGACCAACUAAACAUCAUUAGUCUUCAACUUCUCAUGUGUUUUUCCCAUGUUUUAGGACAAUAAAGUUCUUUCUUCAAAU